YGCAGUGAUGAAUCCACUCUGGAAUCUCGUUCGGCUGAAGGCUGAUGUGGAGAACUGGGAUUCUGAUGCUC
ensembl:snoRNA SNORD30 Small nucleolar RNA SNORD30